rnacentral:rRNA from 1 species
AAAUAGAUACCCAGGUAGUCCACGCCGUAAACGAUGAGUGCUAAGUGUUAGGGGGUUUCCGCCCCUUAGUGCUGCAGCUAACGCAUUAAGCACUCCGCCGUGGGGAGUACGGCCGCAAGGACUGAAACUCAAAGGAAUUGACGGGGGGCCCGCACAAGCGGUGGAGCAUGUGGUUUAAUUCGAAGCAACGCGAAGAACCUUACCAGGUCUUGACAUCCUCUGACAACCCUAGAGUAUAGGGCGUUCCCCUUCGGGGGACAGAGUGACAGGUGGUGCAUGGUUGUCGUCAGCUCGUGUCGUGAGAUGUUGGGUUAAGUCCCGCAACGAGCGCAACCCUUGAUCUUAGUUGCCAGCAUUUAGUUGGGCACUCUAAGGUGACUGCCGGUGACAAACCGGAGGAAGGUGGGGAUGACGUCAAAUCAUCAUGCCCCUUAUGACCUGGGCUACACACGUGCUACAAUGGAUGGUACAAAGGGCUGCCAAACCGCGAGGUUGAGCGAAUCCCAUAAAACCAUUACUCAGUUCGGAUUGCAGGCUGCUAACCG